rnacentral:rRNA from 1 species
AGCGUUCUGUAAGCCUGUGAAGGUGUACUGUGAGGUAUGCUGGAGGUAUCAGAAGUGCGAAUGCUGACAUAAGUAACGAUAAAGCGGGUGAAAAGCCCGCUCGCCGGAAGACCAAGGGUUCCUGUCCAACGUUAAUCGGGGCAGGGUGAGUCGACCCCUAAGGCGAGGCCGAAAGGCGUAGUCGAUGGGAAACAGGUUAAUAUUCCUGUACUUGGUGUUACUGCGAAGGGGGGACGGAGAAGGCUAUGUUGGCCGGGCGACGGUUGUCCCGGUUUAAGCGUGUAGGCUGGUUUUCCAGGCAAAUCCGGAAAAUCAAGGCUGAGGCGUGAUGACGAGGCACUACGGUGCUGAAGCAACAAAUGCCCUGCUUCCAGGAAAAGCCUCUAAGCAUCAGGUAACAUCAAAUCGUACCCCAAACCGACACAGGUGGUCAGGUAGAGAAUACCAAGGCGCUUGAGAGAACUCGGGUGAAGGAACUAGGCAAAAUGGUGCCGUAACUUCGGGAGAAGGCACGCUGAUAUGUAGGUGAAGUCCCUUGCGGAUGGAGCUGAAAUCAGUCGAAGAUACCAGCUGGCUGCAACUGUUUAUUAAAAACACAGCACUGUGCAAACACGAAAGUGGACGUAUACGGUGUGACGCCUGCCCGGUGCCGGAAGGUUAAUUGAUGGGGUCAGCGCAAGCGAAGCUCUUGAUCGAAGCCCCGGUAAACGGCGGCCGUAACUAUAACGGUCCUAAGGUAGCGAAAUUCCUUGUCGGGUAAGUUCCGACCUGCACGAAUGGCGUAAUGAUGGCCAGGCUGUCUCCACCCGAGACUCAGUGAAAUUGAACUCGCUGUGAAGAUGCAGUGUACCCGCGGCAAGACGGAAAGACCCCGUGAACCUUUACUAUAGCUUGACACUGAACAUUGAGCCUUGAUGUGUAGGAUAGGUGGGAGGCUUUGAAGUGUGGACGCCAGUCUGCAUGGAGCCGACCUUGAAAUACCACCCUUUAAUGUUUGAUGUUCUAACGUUGACCCGUAAUCCGGGUUGCGGACAGUGUCUGGUGGGUAGUUUGACUGGGGCGGUCUCCUCCUAAAGAGUAACGGAGGAGCACGAAGGUUGGCUAAUCCUGGUCGGACAUCAGGAGGUUAGUGCAAUGGCAUAAGCCAGCUUGACUGCGAGCGUGACGGCGCGAGCAGGUGCGAAAGCAGGUCAUAGUGAUCCGGUGGUUCUGAAUGGAAGGGCCAUCGCUCAACGGAUAAAAGGUACUCCGGGGAUAACAGGCUGAUACCGCCCAAGAGUUCAUAUCGACGGCGGUGUUUGGCACCUCGAUGUCGGCUCAUCACAUCCUGGGGCUGAAGUAGGUCCCAAGGGUAUGGCUGUUCGCCAUUUAAAGUGGUACGCGAGCUGGGUUUAGAACGUCGUGAGACAGUUCGGUCCCUAUCUGCCGUGGGCGCUGGAGAACUGAGGGGGGCUGCUCCUAGUACGAGAGGACCGGAGUGGACGCAUCACUGGUGUUCGGGUUGUCAUGCCAAUGGCACUGCCCGGUAGCUAAAUGCGGAAGAGAUAAGUGCUGAAAGCAUCUAAGCACGAAACUUGCCCCGAGAUGAGUUCUCCCUGACUCCUUGAGAGUCCUGAAGGAACGUUGAAGACGACGACGUUGAUAGGCCGGGUGUGUAAGCGCAGCGAUGCGUUGAGCUAACCGGUACUAAUGAACCGUGAGG